AAAGGCAACCAGAGCAGCCCAGUUGGGCAGUCCAGGGAAGCCCUGCGAGGGAGGUGGAGCCCUUCCCAGAGCACCCAGGACCUGUCUCUGCACUGGGACCGGGAAGAUGCUUCAUUUCACAGGCAGGAGAACGACCCUCGAAGAUGUCCAAGCCCUAAUCGCUAGACCCUGAGAAUCGGCUUGUGGAUGUGAUGAAGGACCUCGAGAUGGAGUGCAUAUCCUGGAUUAUCUAAGUAGGCCCUGGUGAUAGCCCUUCUAAGAGGGAGGUGGAGAGAGAGGUCGGCGUCAGAGAGAGAUGUGACGAUGGGAGCAGACGUCAGAAAGAGAUCGGAAGAUGCUACUCAGUGGCUUUGCAGAUGCAGGGAGGGGGCAUGAACCAAGGAAUCGGGCGGCUUUUUGAAGCUGGGAAAGGCAAGGCAAUGGAUUCUUUCUCGGAACCUCCAGAAGGAAUGCAGCCCUGUUGGCACCUUGGCUUUCAUCCUUUAAGACCCAUGUCUGGACUCCUGACCUCCAGAACUGUAAUAUAAUAAAUCUGCGUUGUUUCGAACCCCUAA